UGGGGAAUAUUGGACAAUGGGCGCAAGCCUGAUCCAGCCAUGCCGCGUGGAUGAUGAAGGCCCUAGGGUUGUAAAAUCCUUUCGUUGGGGACGAUAAUGACGGUACCCAAAGAAGAAGCUCCGGCUAACUUCGUGCCAGCAGCCGCGGUAAUACGAAGGGGGCUAGCGUUGUUCGGAUUUACUGGGCGUAAAGCGCGUGUAGGCGGACUUGUAAGUUGGGGGUGAAAUCCCGAGGCUCAACCUCGGAACUGCCUCCAAAACUACAAGUCUGGAGCAAGAUAGAGGCAAGUGGAAUUGCGAGUGUAGAGGUGAAAUUCGUAGAUAUUCGGAAGAACACCAGUGGCGAAGGCGGCUCACUGGACGUGUAUUGACGCUGAGGCACGAAAGCAUGGGGAGCAAACAGGAUUAGAUACCCACGUAGUCCCUGAGCGGGCUGGCAAGGCGCAU
rnacentral:rRNA from 1 species